CAGAGGCAGGAGGGAGUGUCGCCAACAAAAUUUACGCUCCGUGUCGUCAGCCAGAGAUAACAGCAGCUGACGCGGCCGCUUGCCUCCCCUGCCAUCUGCUCAGCGCGGGGCCGCCAAGGGGCGAGGGCCGCCCCGCACUACCCGGGGGACCACGCGGCAGAGAGCUGCUCAGACGGGCCGGACCACCGGGAGCACGGCGCACCCGGGAAGCGCCCCUGUACCCCUCCCUGCAGACAUGCUUGCUGCCCAGAAACCCAACAUCUGGGAUGGGGGCAGAAAGGAGAUGGAGCUGGCUGGUCUGGGGUUGUGCCCCCAGUGGCAGGGGGUGGGAUUUUGAGAUCUGUUUUUUGUCCCCAUGUUCCAGAUGCGGAAACUGAGGCACAGAUGCACCAGGGAUCACCUACAGAGGGAGUGAGAAGGACUGGGAGGCACAGUGGUUAGACUUGUUUUCAUUGCAUUUACUGUUCUGGAGACUUUCCUAAGGAGGGGGAAACUUUUCACGGACAGCAUCAUUCUUUCAGGCGGUCAGUAACGAUUUAUUAAGCACCUAUCCUGCGACAGCUACUCUGUUGGGAACCUGGAAUGCAGAGUGAACCAAACUUGAUCUCUGCCUUCAGGAUGUUUGGAGUCCGGUUGGAGAAUGAGAUCUCUUUGCUUUGAGCAAAGGCAGCACAACAGAGCCGAAAGAACUCGGAAGUCAUUUCACUUGUCCGGGCUUCAGUUUUGAGCAUCCAGAUGCCCCACUCGCCCUGAGAAACAGGAUAAUCUCAAGCUAGCGAAUGCUCAUCACUGAUUCACUAGUACUGCCCUGGGUCCAUAAAGUCCUGUGCGCUGCCCUCCAGGGAGACACGUCUAGCCGGGCAGACAAGCAAAUAGGUCCAACGAAGGGGCUGUACUGUCUCUCCUCACCCUCCACUGCGAGCUUCUAGGGCUGGGACUGGAUCGUGGUCCUCUCUCUAUCCUUGACUGUACCGAGGACAUCUUGGCAUAACAGCCUUUCGGAGAUUGCCUCUCCUUCUCAGAAAUGACAAGAGCACUGGCCUUCACUCCCAGUGGGACAAGACUGGAGCGUUCACUGAGGGAUAUUUUCACCCCCUGGGGCCUGACGGCCUCAACUCCAACCCUAUCUUGGCACCGAUGGGCAAUCCCCAGGCAAGUCCUGGGCACACACAGAAUUUCCUGGCCAGAGCCUACCAUCUGGCCCUCACGCCCUCUGCUGCAAUGUGCAGACCUGGACAAACAAGAAAAGUGUGGUCCAAAGGGGUGACGUUCUACCCAAGUCCAUGCCACGAGCACAAGACAAAGCUGUCGGCUAAGCUGCAGCCUCAGGCCAGCCUUCUACCUGCUGGCGGCCUCUCCUCUAUAGGCCUGAGGACAGCCCCUCUCCAGCUAAAGGACCCCUCUGUGCAUGCAGUCCCGCUGUCCUUGCCGGCUUAGAAUAAAGAGUGCGCUUUAUUCUGAUUGUCCUUUUUUCAAACGUUAAAUUCCUCUUCUUGUAUAAAAUAACAGCAGGCGAUUGUGCUGAUUUAUGACGAGGGUGACAAAAUAAGGAGUUGGACGCCAUGUUAGGCCCUAGUUCUGGAGAUAUUUUGCUAAUGGGUACAAGAAAUCCAGGAGCUGGG
ensembl:lncRNA